UGAUCCCCGAACGCGGCCAUAUUUCCUCUCGUGGCUCUCUCUCGUCCACGGAAAGCAGGAAAGGUGGUGCGCGGUUCUGGCGGUGACCAAAUUUUCCCAGGGAGGCGAUGGUCGCGACGCGCGCGUGCAUUUCGUAACGGUCGUCGGUGCAGCGACAGUGAAAGACUAGGAGAGUGAAAAGUGGUUAAUCAUGCCCAGAGAAGGCAGCAAUCCGGCCGGCAGGCGGCCGUCGUCGCGCAACGCGAAGCCCUACGACGCGAACAACUCAUUUGUAAGAAAAGUGGCGACCAAGGUAACAGAUUUUAUACCACAGUCCUCAUGGAUUAGUAAGUGGUUCAAUACCUCUCAAGGUAACGAGACUGUGUUAGACAGUAGAGAGAAUAUUGUGGAAAUGGAGCUAGAGGAUGAUGCGCAACAGCCUCCUAACAAGCGAGCACGCAUUCGCAUGGAUGUGAUCCAUCCACCUGGCACAUUUUCUAUACAAUCUAGAGCUAAAACCACAGUUGAACCUAAAGAGCAGUACUCUAUUCAUAACGACAUGACAGAAGAUUUUCUGGAACCUGCGACAGCUGGACCAAGUGGAAUAAGCCGUUUAAUAUCCUCGACUUCUGCGAUACAAGCGGAUAUUAGGACCGUAACGUCUCAUAGGUCUGACUUAAAUUCGCUAGCUUCGUCAACCAAUAAUGGAAUAGCAAAUGGAAUGGAUGAUAAUUCGGAGUCCAGUGAAAGUACCAGUGGUUGUAGUUCGCUUAUCCCACAAAUAAAUAGGCAUGAAGGCCCAUCAAAUUUAUUAUAUAAUUCGACUUUUACUAGUAGAAAGAGACACGCUGAUGAUAAAUUGACAUUUACAAAUCAUUUACAAUCUCCAAGAUCCUUGUUUCUAGACAGUAAUUCUCGUGAUACUUUAAGUAGUCGCAGGCCAAGUUUUAAUGCAUCAAUUGUAACAAACGCUAUAGACCGCGCAUCUCCGCUAUCCUCUCCCUUUUAUAGUGGCAAUAUUACUUUCGGUGGUGCAAAUGCAGCAGGUCUUUACAAACGAAGUCGAAAUAUUUUUAGCAAUUCAAACGACAUACAACUUAAAGUGCCGAGGAGAACCAAUGUUGAAGUCAAGCCUUCUGAUGGAGUUGAUUCAUCGGGUAUGAGUCAAACUGCUAAAAAGAUAUUAGACGCACUAGAACAUUUCUCGUCGCCUAUAUCUGACGCGAAGAAAAUUCCGUUAAAAAACGCGAAUAAUGCUGUGUCUUUGGCAACGAGCAAAAAAAGAGCGCGAGAAGAGACAGCAAACCCAUCCGCUAGAAUAGGUUUGCGUCAUUUGACGCGCGAAUUAACAGUACCAACCGUCCCCGAUAUAUUGAAGUUAAGACGAAGGCAAAAAUUACAAGAUACAACUCUUAUGGCUAGAAAGAUCGUUUCCGCUCGUAGCAAUCCACCUCCGCCACCACAGGAAUAUCGACUGAGAACGGAAGAUACUGAAAGUGAAAAGUACCGCGGCAAGUUGAAGGGCAAAUCUAAAAUAAAUCUAGAACAGGAAGAAACGGUGGCGCCUGUAAAUUUGCCAAACAUACCUCUGCCAAUAACAACAUUACCCAAUUUCAAUUUUACCCUAUCACCCCCUGUUUCACAUUCCACAGGCAAAACUACAGCUAACAAAGAAAACACUUUUACAUUUGCUAGCCCUAUCAAGGUGACAGAUAUUGGGAAAAGUUUGCAGUCUGUUAACAAAUUUACCUUCAGUAAUCCGAUCAACGCCGAAGACUGCGCAAGUGAUUCAAAUUUGCAUUCAACAACAGAAAAUAAAUCUACUGUUGAUCGUGCGAUUACAUCCGUACCAAAUUUCAUUUGGAGUGGCUCAUCCACAGCUCCCAGAUUAAAAGCAAAACUAAAAAGCAGCAAGAAUAAUUCCGUCGAGUCUGCAACAUCGCAAGAAUUAAAAUCAGGAAAUAUUAUGGAUGUAUUCUCUUCUACAUCUAAAAAAAUGGAAUUUAAUUUAAUUGGACAGUCAAACUCAGGAUUGGCUUCUGAAACAAUACACUCUGACAAGACUGUCAGUACAUUUGCCGGCUCAGAUUUAGAUAUCACACGAACUCACAGUACAGAGUCGUCUUGGGAAUGUAAUGAAUGUAUGAUUAGGAACAAUGGUGCAGACAAACAGUGCGCUGCAUGUAAAAUUUCUCGAUCCGAUUCUAAUAAAAAAACUACAUCGCCCUCAACAUCAACAACGGAUACGGUUUUAGAGACAAAACCGAUCGUACCAGUCGAUUGCUUUGGUUCUCAAUUUAAACUGUCUACACAUCAAUGGGAAUGUUCGACUUGCUGUGUAAGGAAUAAACAAAGUGACAACACAUGUGUAGCAUGCACUACACCGAAAUCAGGAAGUAGUUCUACAAUGCAACAAACUGUUAAAUCUCAAAAUUCCGAUCUAAUGGAGAAGUUUAAACCUGCCGAAGGAUCGUGGGAAUGCUCCGGUUGUUUACUAAGGAACGUUGCGAACGUUAUUACGUGUCCUUGCUGCAAUGCAUCUAAACCUACUAUUGUAAAAACAAAACCGAAGCAGACAAAUAAUGUUACGGAAUCGUCUGUGCAAAAAUUGAACACUAGUACAGCCUGGCAGGAAGCCUGGGCAGGAACGCGGGAAAGAUCUAAUAAUUCUGAAAUAAUGAACAAAUUUAAACCAAGCAAAGAUUCUUGGGAAUGUCCAGGAUGCUUUGUUAGAAAUAACAGUUCUGUUAUCAGCUGUCCUUGCUGCAACACCUCUAAGCCUAAUUCUACUGAUGAACCGAACAAAACGGAACAGAUAUCAAGUAAUGGAUUUGGGGACAAAUUUAAAAAACCAGAAGGUGCAUGGAUUUGUGAUGCUUGUAUGCUACAAAAUGAUGCAAAGCAUAUGGAAUGUGUGGCUUGCCAAGCUUCAAAGCCUGGUACUGUAAAAUCAAACGAAUCUUCGAAUACCAUCUCUACCUUACAGUUUAAGUUUGGUGUAUCACAAACUUGUACAACAAACUCUAUUAGUGGACCAUGUGGAUUCAAUUUUGGGAUAGAUAAGGCUGACAAUCAAUCUAAAUCUGACGCAACAUCUCCCUUAAACGGAUUUAAAUUUGGUAAUGCACAACAGAAUAGUGGUAUGGCACAAUUUACAUUUGGUAUUCCAAAAGAACAGAAUAAAAAUGAAGUAUCUAAAACCAAUAGUGUAACAACAUCUGUUAAUAGUAUAGAAUUUUCAUUUAAUGUGAAAAGUCCUGAAAAAUCAGAAUCUAUUGAUCAGGAAGCUAAACAGAAAACACUUUUUAGUAUGCCGAAAAAUGAUAAUUUAAUAACAGACAGUGAAAAACAGAAUGUAAACAUUGUAUCCAGUGUUCCAUCAACCAUACCUUCUUUCACCUUUGGUGUACAGAAAACAGAACUUGAUCAGUCUACUUCAAAUCAGAGCACCCAAAAAACUUCCUUUGCAACAAUUGUGACAGAAAGCUCCAAAUCAGUGGUAACAACUAAUGCGGUAUCAAUCAGCACUAAUACGACGUUACCAUCGUUAUUGACAAAAAAAGAUACUACAAAGAAUAUAUCAGACACAAAACCAGAGCCGAUAUUUUCAUUUGGAGUACCAAGCAGCAUAAGUACUGCUACUACAACUUCCACAAAUGCAACGACUACUUGUCUUCCAACUUUUGCUCAAUCUACUUUCACAUUUUCCAAUUCAAAGACGUCAUCUCAGCCAGCCACAAUAUCAUCUUUUGGUCAAGUUCCGACAUCAUCUGCCACGUUGUCCACGAGUGUGUCAAUCAGAGGAAACAAGGCACCCGAGACUACUCAGUCAGUUAGCAAAGUCGUGAACGAUACACCGGCUGCUACUCCGCUCUUCCCGAGUGCCACGCCGUUAUUCAAUAAUGAGUCAAAGACAACAGCAUUCAACACUUACAAACCGUGUUUUACCGCGACGGGAGAUAAAUCGUUAGGAUAUGCCACGCCCGAGAACAAACUUCCAACAUUCGGCAGUAAUACUGAGAGUAAAUUACCGAUUUUCGGUGCGCCUGAAACGAAGUUGCCCGUAUUCAAUUCACCUGUGACAAAUCCUCUAUCAACGUUUGGCAAACCGAACUCCAGCAGUGCUGCUUCAUCGACCUUUGGCUCGACUAAUGCCCCGACCUUUGGAAAUAAUACCACAUCCGCUUUUGAUGGUACUACGACAACACCCAGUAUAUUUUCAACCACCAAGCCGAACUCAUCUUUAUUCACGUUCGGCUCGGCUGCGUCGCAACAGUCGGCAAGUGGCGGAUUUAAUUUCUCCGCGAAUGUUAAUCCAGCUGUGUCGUCCGCAAAGCCGCUUUUCACGUUUGGUGGUAAUUCAAGUACGCCGCAGAGCAGUAACAAUACCUUUGGUAGUGGUACAUUUGAAACGAAUUCCGCUCCAACGAAUGCUGCUAAUUUUACGUUUAAUCCACCUAAACAAGAAACACCGGCAGCAUUCGGUCAAGGCGCAAUAGCAACUCCGAUAUUCGGUACCCCACAGGCAAAUCCGCAGACUCAAGCGACAUCAUCAUUUUCGUCUACUCCUUCGUCCAAUACAGGAUUCAAUUUUGGAUCUACAGCUCCGAUUGCUACACCAUCAGGAGGUUUUAAUUUUGGAGCAAUGCCAUCUACAUCUACACCGACUGGAGGAUUCAAUUUUAAUCCUCCUGCUUCUGCUCCAACGGUAGCUUUCGAUCCAAAUAGUCGGCCUUCGUUUAACUUUACCAAAGGAAGUGCACCAACAGCAUUUAACGCUCCUCCUCAGUCAGCAGCACCACCAGGACGAAAAAUCAAAAAAGCAUUUCGAAGAUGCGUGCGGUAGAGAGCAUUUUCGACAUAUGACAACACGCAUACACUCAGGUGCGUCUCUACAUCUGUCUGUAUAUCUGAGGGUCUCUGUAUGUUAGGCGUUAUAUAAAAAGAUGUACAAUGAAAUUCUCUUAUACAUCAAUCAACGGCAGUGUGGUGGAAAAUGUAAAUUAUAAAUUAUUUAAAUUAUACAAGUUAUAACGAAAAUAAUAUUUUGGAGUUGGCAUGAAGCCAGUAAAUCGUGAUGGCGUUGCAUUACUAAGACCUUACCAAAAAAUUGGACGUAAUGUAUAUGUACCAACAUGACGUAUUCAAGAUAGCGUACAUAUUUGCCGAAAUCGAAAAGUAUACCUCGACAAAGAAAAUUAAUAAGCACUUAACAUGUGCAAUUGAAGUACUAGAUACUAGUGGGAGAUUGUCACCUAUUCAGGUAAGUAUAAGUCAGUCACAGUAGCUCGUAGCAUGCUUUGUAAAAAAGUCUUGGUAUAAAAUUUAUUGAGUUUAGUUUAAAAGUACUAUGUGCGCGGGCAUCAUAAUUUUUAAACUGAGUAUAUACAAAUCAAAGUAUCUAAAUACGAAUAUUAAAUAUCUUUCAUGCAUUCGAAUUUUGAUGAAAAAAAACCUUUCAAAUAAAAAAAGAUUUAAGAAAAAUAACAUGAUUCUUAUAAUUUUAAAUUAAAUUUUUAAUUUUAUGUAAUAUUAUUUAAUGGUUUCAUAUUUGAUCAUUCAAACUUAACGUUUCAUUUUUUUAUUUAACAUAUUAAUGUUAUGAGCUGUCUCAUUUUGCUUAACCAUUCUGUUAAAAAUUAUAAGUAAUUUUUAUAUUCUUCUCACAUACAUAUAUACACGUUAUAUAUCUUUCUAUUUUUGAUAAGUUUAUAUUUUUCAAAUUUUUAAAUGGUUCUUUGUGUAAUUAAAUUCUAUGUAUUAUAAUAUUUAUGAUGAGCCUACGGAUGCUUAUAAAAUUUCGUGACAUUACGAGCAUUGUGAAUUGACUAUAUAUCAAUAAAAUCCCACUAUACAUAUAUACAUAAAUAUACAUAUAUAGAUAUUAAUUAUAUUUGAAUUAGAAUUUCGUGGGCAGCCCUACAUCAUCUUUGUAGAACUAGUCCAGGAAAAAUGUAACAUACACAAAAAUGGCAUUCGGAUAGUACAAAUUGACGAUUACUAAACGUUUCCAUUGAGUAGUCGAAAUUAUAUAUUUUUUUUAUAUAUUGAAUGAAAUAAUCCUAUAUAAAAAAAAAUACUGAAUGCCAUUUUGAUAGGAUUAUAUUAUAAUGUUGUGUGUUUUACCAUAGAGUGAGUGAAAUCAAUUUGAAAGGAUAUGUUGAAUGGAAAUAAAUUAUUAAGGGACUUCUAAAGAAUUUUUAAAAAUGUUUUAUUGGAUAUAAUUCUUAUAGAUAUAAGUACUUAAAUAUGUAUUUAUAUCUUGGAUAUAAGUCUAACAAGUUUCUAGGUUUUUCGAAUUAUGUAUUAAUUUUUAUUUAUUAUUAUGUGCUUAGUACAGUUAGUGGAAAAUAAAGAUUCGAUUUAAUUCGAUUUCAAAUUUAAACAAGAGAUGUCUGUUUACUUAUAUCACCUUAGAUAUUGUUAAAAUAAAAUCAAUAAAAAUUAAAAAUUUCAAAAUCCAACACUCCAAUUAUUGUGAAAAAUAAGAAAUGUUUAAUUUACCUUUUUAAAUAAGAACUCUUUUUAUGAUAAUACUAUAAUAAUACAACAUAUAUUGGAAUAAUUUUCGUAAGUGCAAUUUUUACAAUAACAUUUACACAAAUUUGAAAUUACUUAAACAGACAUAAACCAUUCUUUUAGAAGUCCCUAAAGCGGAAAGUAGUUAGAUGGCGUGUAAUAAUGAUUAAUAAAUCAUUGAAAUCAUGCACAUCUUAUUUAAAAACAGGCUAGUUAUGUAUAAUGUUGGCUUAGACUCGACAGUAGCCAAGAAUAACUCGGCACAUGACCUAUCUUAUGCCAUAUUAGACACAUAGGUACAAAACAUUCUGUUAAACAUUGUUGUUUAUCCGUUGUUAUGUAAUAUUUACAUGUAAACAUUAAGUUCUGUACAUUGUUAAGAGGCAAAAAUUCAUACGAUAUUGUUUCUAUGUAGACUUGUAUUUUUAAUACUGUCUCAAAGUAUCCUUUGUAGGUAAUACAUUUUUCAUUUAAGAUAUAACAGUGUUGAUGUAUAAUGCCAGUGUAUGGGUGAUUUCAAGAAAACUGUGAUGCAGGUAUGCGUAAAGUUAAUCGAGCGUGUAUUGAAAUAGUUAAUAACUUAAAAAUUCACAUAGGUGAAAUUAUUUUAUUUUAGUUUUUAAGAGAUCCCAUACCCAAUAAUACCUACCAAGGAUCUUUUGAACGUAAAGUAAUUGACAAGCCUCUGUUUUUACAAUUGCAAAAUGAGGAUAAUAUAAUUAAUGGUAAAGUGAGGCUGCGCUGAGAUAUGUCUGUGCUGCUGUCUUACACUGUGAACAUUCUCUGUUGAGGCUGUGUCGUCCAUUUGUCUAUGAAUAGACAAAUUUCCAAAUUAAUCAAUAUAUCGAAUAUUGUCUACAGAGACAAUAUCUUUUGUAUUAAAUUUCGUAUAUGGCCUUACAAAUACACAAUGAACGUGUAACGUAGAUAUAUUAAACAACUGUAAAGCAUAUUGGAAUUGUUUUGUAGCACUUUAUAUACUCUCCAUUGUAAUAUGUUUGCAUAAACAUCUGAAGAGUACCGCAUUAAAAAAUGUUCAACACAAUAGAUAUGUAACAUCCCAUAUCUGAUAGAAAUUUUCUUUUUCAUUUCUUUUCAAUAUAACAAAAAAAUAUACAUAUACGUGAGUGUGUCUGUUAUAUUUUUUUUAUGUGUACACACAUUACGUGUGUGUGCGUGUGUGUGUCAUCAUAUAUAAAAUUUUAUAUUUGCAGAUUUACAUAAAAUGUAUGAGAAUUUGUAUUUUUUUAUAUAUAACAUUACUAUUUCUUUUUUUAUGUACAUCAAUAAGAACGACAAGGUUUUAUGAUGAUGUAUAUAUUUUUAUGUAAUAUUCCUAUGAACUAUGGGAUGUUACGAUAUGUCAAAUAUUCUGAGGCCUUAUUAUAAUCUUAGUCCAUUGGAAAUUAUGCAAUUGUACUGAAUUUUUCUGAAUAUCUAUCGAGAAUGCAUUAAGCGAUUAUCUAAUAAAGUUCAGAAAAUGAGGGAGUUUGUUAUAAAAUAAAUCCAAUGACUGACUGUAAUUAAAUAAAAUAAUACAUGGGAGAAUGUUCACUGUAUGCUUCAGGUGCUAUGAGGAUGGUGUUACAUUCUCAUGACAUGAUGUAAUAUUAAUUAAUACGAAAAACCCAUAUUGGUGUUUCUCAACUGAUAAGUUAUAGAACAAUUCGAAAGACAUUUAUUAAAAUAUGUAAUAUGCAAGGUGUAAGAAAAGCCAUCUUUAUUCGCACAAGCAAAGUCGACGAAAUACGCUUAUGGUGAUUUAAAACUUUUUUUUAUAUAAUAUAUUAUUUCAUCGAAAAGUGUAUUAUAUCUUUAUAUCUUAAAACUUCUAUAAACCACAAUUUCUUCCUUUAGGGUGAUACAUUGAAUUUAUUUAAUUUGCAGAAUGUAUAGGCAUAUAAGCGAUGUCAAUAAUACUCGCAAUAAUAACAGUAAAAACACAUGUAACAUGUGAGAAAUUUUUUGUGGAACAAAAGUGCAAAGAGCAGUCUCUCUGGAUUUACUGAUUCGAUUUUUUAUCCGUAAUGAAUAAAGGUGACAUUGCCUUAACGGAUAGCACUUGUAAUAUUUAAGAGCUACUCGGAGCUUGUGUUGAGAAACACCGCAUAAGAUACAUAACAUUAUUACGAGUACUAUUCUUAAUACUAAUCUCUUCUGUUUAGCCAUAACGAUUAUAUAAUUGUGCAUUCGCGCAUGUAAUUAUAUGAUUAUAGAUAAAUAAUCAUAUAAUUAUAUACAUUAUAUAUACAUAUAUAGGAUAUAUAAAAAAUACCAAGUAAAAUACGAUGUUGAAUUUUAAUUUGGGUUAUAUAGUUUUAUUUUAUAUUUAGAAAAAAAGGUAUAGGAGGGCAUUUAGCGUGACCAUUGGUUUGAACUAAAGAAUUUUACUAUAGCAUGUGCACACGCAUAUAUAAAUAUGUUAAAGAAAUUUUCCUAAUACGUAUAUAUUAUGUAGGAAAAAUCAUGAAGUGUGUGCAGAUCCAUAUCAAAAUUCUUUGGGUCAAAAAAAUAAUCUAACAUUAAUUCAAUCGCAAUUCCUGAUGUUUAGAUAAAGUAUAAUAUGUUACGAAUAUCUGUUCUUUCAUUUUGUUUUAAUCUUGUAAGUAGUAGAAUCGCUCCUCGAACAGUUCCUUAAAGAAAGAUACAAAAUAAGAGAUACCUACUGUGAAUUAUUGUAUCACAUUCGUGGUUUUUCGACAUCCUAAAUUGUAUACAUAUGUUAUAUAUAUAUAUAUACAUACAUAUAUCGCUCUACAAACUGUUGUAACAAUCUAUUUCAAAGGAUAAUUUUUCAACAGUAUGAUAUGCAAACAAUUCUUUUUGGACAUUUUUUUUAGUAUAUUCAUUUAAUAUGCUCCUCUUUCCAUUAUCUCGCUGAAUAAUAUCAAAUAAAUAAGUUAUACAAUGAAAAA
rnacentral:misc_RNA from 1 species